UCGAACGGUAACAGGAAGCAGCUUGCUGCUUUGCUGACGAGUGGCGGACGGGUGAGUAAUGUUUGGGAAACUGCCUGAUGGAGGGGGAUAACUACUGGAAACGGUAGCUAAUUCCGCAUAACGUCGCAAGACCAAAGAGGGGGACCUUCGGGCCUCUUGCCAUCGGAUGUGCCCCGAUGGGAUUAGCUAGUAGGUGGGGUAAAGGCUCACCUAGGCGACGAUCCCUAGCUGGUUUGAGAGGAUGACCAGCCCCCCUGGAACUGAGACCCGGUCCCGACUCCUUCGGGAGGCAGCAGUGGGGAAUAUUGCCCAAUGGGCGCAAGCCUGAUGCAGCCCUGCCGCGUGUAUGAAGAAGGCCUUCGGGUUGUAAAGUACUUUCAGCGGGGAGGAAGGGAGUAAAGUUAAUACCUUUGCUCAUUGACGUUACCCGCAGAAGAAGCACCGGCUAACUCCGUG
rnacentral:rRNA from 1 species